AGAAUCAACGCUGGCGGCGUGCCUAACACAUGCAAGUCGAACGAGAAAGUGGAGCAAUCCAUGAGUAAAGUGGCGACCGGGUGGGUAACACGUGACUACCUACCCUUGAGUAGGGGAUAACCUCGGGAAACCGAGGCUAAUACCGCAUAAUAUCGAAAGAUCAAAGGAGUAAUCCGCUUUUGGAGGGGUCGCGGCUGAUUAGCUAGUUGGUAGGGUAAUGGCCUACCAAGGCGAAGAUCGGUA
rnacentral:rRNA from 1 species